rnacentral:rRNA from 1 species
UACGAAGGGUGCUAGCGUUAUUCGGAAUCACUGGGCGUAAAGAGCGUGUAGGCGGUUUAUUAAGUCGACUGUUAAAGCACCAAGCUUAACUUGGUAAAGGCAGGCGAAACUGGUAGGCUAGAGUACAAGAGAGAGAAGUGGAAUUGUCGGAGUAGCGGUAAAAUGCGUAGAUCUCGACAGGAACACCGGUUGCGAAGGCGGCUUCUUGGCUUGUAACUGACGCUAAAGCGCGAAAGCGUGGGGAGCAAACAGG